GAAAUACUACGUGUCCUCGUGCUGAUGGUGUGCCGUGCUUGUGUGGCGACAGAAGGCAGACAGGGGUUUGCAGAUGUGAUGUCCAAGCUGUUUUGAAGAAGCACAAAGAAACGGGCAACGCUGUGGACCGUGGACGGCUAAAGAAAACUUACUGCAGCAGAUGAAAGACACGUCAUGCUUACUUCCCUUCGCAAUCAGAAGAUGUCAAGAAAUGCCAUGAGCUCAGAGCUGCAGAAAACAGUGAUAAAAGGCCAAGCAGCUCAACUAUGCACAAAAACACAGGAACUGGGAUGCAUAAAAAUGGCAGCAGGAGUCUGCUGUUACUGCUUCACCAGCCAAGUAGGCUCCCAAGUGACAGAGAACCAAAUCUGAACAACUUGGAAACACUACUUAACUCAUCACAACACUACUUCAUUCAUCACCUGUGCCAAAACAUGCUGGUGAAAUGAAGUCGGCUACAGUUACUGAAGGUUUCUUUUUACUUUGAUCUCUCUAUUGUCAGCUCUAUAAAAAAAAAAACAGUUGUUCUAUAUGAGAGAGAGGAGAGGAGCUGAACAAAAUGUUGAUACACUCAUCUGGGUUGCCUUCAUUGAUUAAAGGUGCAUUCACAGCAAUAAAGGUUUCGGAACAGCAGCGAGAGAUUUGCAUAAUUAUGGGCUAGUGCAUUAAUAAGCCGUCAAUUUACAUAGGAUUUAUAAUUAUUGUUUUACUACCAUUAUUAUGAAAAGCACUUUAAUUUAACUUUAAUCUGUUAUUUGCUAGAUUGAUAGAACUGUAGAUAAAUGAGGGGAGGUUUUUGUAACUUUUAAAACUGAUCAUCUGAUUGCUUGUAUUUCAGCAACAUUACCAUGCUCCCAGAUCUCAGCAAUAACCUUUAUUCAAUGUACAAUGUAAUCAUAAACAGAUUGGAACAAUGGC